AUCACUUUUUAAAAUUUUGUUUAUUUGUUUAUUUAUUUGAUUUAUUUACUAAUUUACUUAUUUAUGUAUUUGCUUACUUAAGAUUUACGAAAGGACAUCUUUACAAAUCUUAAACUCAGCACGUGACGAAUUUUUAUAGUUAGGAGUAGGGGUGGACAGGAUGACGAUUUUUCAAUACCAUCGAUGCCGAUAUUUUUUUAAUGUUCAAAGGUUUCAGCCACAGGUUACGUGCACUUCAAGAUACCAAGAAACUUGUGGAAAUGAAUAUAUUUUUUCUGAUUUCACAGAAGGAACAGUCCUCGUCCAGCCCACCACCACCACCACCACCACCACCAAUAAUCCAACAGAAGCUGCGACGGGAGAGGAGACGAGUUCAAAGAUGCCUUCACUGUGUCUGAGAUUCGCCUCCGUGUCCCCAUUAACAGCAUCUUGCAUCUCUCCGUGCUUACGUGUGCUACAGAAAUAAAUAUGAAAGGGAAACUAGAACAAAGAGGAUACAAAACUGCCUUGAUUAGAAAUUAUCCGAAAAUAAGAUUGUACUAUCCAUGCAAGUAUCAUUUAACGAACUGUUCAUAAAAAAAAACUCAGGAUGUUCUUUCAGUUAUUAUGUACUUUGAGAAAACUUGAUUUGCUUAACCUAUAAUGCUUGCGUCACUGAGGAGUCUCCAUGAAGAUCAGAAAUAUAAACAAUAAGAAUGUCUGGGUUUAUUAAAGAAAUGUUUCCUGAAAUUCUUGAGGCUCUUCCAUCAAGACCUUCGCUGCCAGCACUAUUCAAUAAAUCUUGGCCACGGAA